CCCGCUGAACUUAAGCAUAUCAAUAAGCGGAGGAAAAGAAACUAACAAGGAUUCCCCUAGUAACUGCGAGUGAAGCGGGAAAAGCUCAAAUUUGAAAUCUGGCAGUUUCCGACUGUCCGAGUUGUAAUCUAGAGAAGUGUUACCUGUGCUGGACCGUGUACAAGUCUCCUGGAAUGGAGCAUCAUAGAGGGUGAGAAUCCCGUCUUUGACACGGACUACCAAUGCUUUGUGAUGCGCUCUCAAAGAGUCGAGUUGUUUGGGAAUGCAGCUCAAAAUGGGUGGUAAAUUCCAUCUAAAGCUAAAUAUAGGCGAGAGACCGAUAGCGAACAAGUACCGUGAGGGAAAGAUGAAAAGCACUUUGGAAAGAGAGUUAAACAGUACGUGAAAUUGCUGAAAGGGAAACGCUUGAAGUCAGUCACGUCUGCCAGGACUCAGCCUCGCUUCUGCUUGGUGUAUUUUCUGGUUUGAUGGGCCAACAUCGAUUUUGACCGUCGGAGAAAGGCGUUGGGAAUGUGGCACCUUCGGGUGUGUUAUAGCCCCUCGUUGUAUACGACGGUUGGGAUCGAGGACCGCAGCACGCCUUCAUGGCCGGGGUUCGCCCACGUACGUGCUUAGGAUGUUGGCAUAAUGGCUUUAAGCGACCCGUCUUGAAACACGG
rnacentral:rRNA from 1 species